CCCCUGAUGGUCUAGUUGGAUAUGACGUCUGACUGUAAAUCAGAAGGUCGCUGGCUCGAUUCCGGCUCGGGGGA
rnacentral:tRNA from 4 species